rnacentral:lncRNA from 1 species
AGAAAUCCACUAUCAAAUUCAAGUCAAGAUGACACCGCCAAAUAUUGGUAUGGCCUUGGAGAAAUGAAAAAUGAGAAGGGUCGUAUCAUCUGUGAAAAGAGAAUGAUUUCAAAGAAACAGGAUAUGGUACAACAGCCCAAAGAUAUCAAAAUGUUGGACCCAAGAUCUUCAGAUAGAAAAAAAAGUGAUGGUGUGGGAUUUAUGAAGAGACCUUGUCUAUUUGUUGUGUGGGAUGAUCUGAAAUUGUCACCAUUGACAUCUACCAGUCUUCCAAUUUCAUUUAGUGGUUCGGAUAAUCUCCUGUCUACUGAUUUGGAGGAACAUCUGCUGAAAAUCAAUAAGGCAAAGGUAAAUUUGACAAUCCACUCUUGACGACUUGUUCUUUCGAUAUUGGUUUAAGAAAAUCUGAUUGAUACUAAUGGUUUUAUUUAACAUUUGUCUAAUUAUAUAAAUUUGGUCAGGCAAUAAACCUGUUGAGGGCUUCUUUGACCUCUGACAAAGGUGCUUUUACUCGGAGCCUAUCCUGCCUAUUGUGGAAGUGGAGACUCCAAAGAUUCAUUCCAUUAUGGGGUUGGUUGAGAAACAAGAGAAACAAAAAGCGAGAGAAAAGAAAAAGACAAAAAAGUGAGAAAUAUAUCAAGUUAUUAAAUGAAAAGAAAGAGAAAGAGAAAAAGAAACAAGAAAUAAGUGCCGCAGAAACUAAAAAGAAGAAGGAAGAGAUUAACAAUAAUAAUUCAGUGCAGAAGCCAAAGGAAGAAGUCAAAGCCUAAACUUUAGGGUGAUAAGUGAUAAAGGUGACAUAGAACAAUGCUGCAAUGUAUUUUGGUGUAAGAAAUAGUUGUGUUUAAGUGAUUUGAUGAUCAUUGAAUAUGCAUAUUUUCUUGUUUUUGGAUGUCCUUAUAAUGUUCAAUAAUUCUACGAGUAUAAUUUUAGGUUGUGAUAUUAGUACAACUAGAAAUCUAUGAGGUAACAUCUCUCUCUCAAUGUUGGGAAGAGAUAGAGAUAAUGGGUAUGUUCAUAAUAAUAGCUGUAAUCAUUGCAUAGUUGAGUAGGGUGCCUCUAUCUGUCACUUUGCAUGGUAUUGGUUGGUUAUUUUAGAGGUGAAUUAAGACUAUCUACCAUUAUACAACAUCAAUUGAAAAGGCAACGGCAAGUGCAGUAAAAAUAGG